rnacentral:tRNA from 1 species
GGUCCAAUGGUCUAGUGGUUAUGAUUUCUGUCUUACAUUUGUAACGAACACAGAAGGUCUCCAGUUCGAUCCUGGAUUGGACCA